rnacentral:snRNA from 1 species
AUCGCUUCUUGGCCUUUUGGCUAAGAUUAAGUGUAGUAUCUGAUAUCCUGUUCAAUCUUUUUCCAGAGUGCUAUAGUUUUC